UAGUCCACGCCGUAAACGAUGAGCACUAGUUAUGGGUACGGUUACGUAUCUGUGACGCAGCUAACGCAUUAAGUGCUCCGCCUGGGGAGUACGGCCGCAAGGCUAAAACUCAAAGGAAUUGACGGGGGCCCGCACAAGCGGUGGAUCAUGUGGUUUAAUUCGAAGCAACGCGCAGAACCUUACCUGGGUUUGAAAUCUUGAGAAUCUGUAUGAAAGUACGGAGUGCCCUUCGGGGAAUUCAAUGACAGGCGCUGCAUGGCUGUCGUCAGCUCGUGUUGUGAAAUGUUGGGUUAAGUCUCGCAACGAGCGGAACCCCUGUCCUUAGUUGCCAGCAUUAAGUUGGGCACUCUAGGGAGACCGCCGGGGUUAACCCGGAGGAAGGUGGGGAUGACGUCAAGUCCUCAUGGCCCUUAUAUCCAGGGCUACACACGUGAUACAAUGGUUGGUACAGAGGGAUGCAAACUUGCAAAAGCUAGCAAAUCUCAAAAAGCCAAUCUCAGUCCGGAUUGG
rnacentral:rRNA from 1 species